CACGUAGGGGGCAAGCGUUGUCCGGAUUUAUUGGGCGUAAAGAGCUCGUAGGCGGUUCGGUAAGUCGGGUGUUAAACCCCCAGGCUCAACCUGGGGACGCCACUCGAUACUGCUGUGACUUGAGUCCGGUAGGGGAGCGUGGAAUUCCUGGUGUAGCGGUGAAAUGCGCAGAUAUCAGGAGGAACACCAGCGGCGAAGGCGGCGCUCUGGGCCGGUACUGACACUGAGGAGCGAAAGCGUGGGUAGCAAACAGG
rnacentral:rRNA from 1 species